rnacentral:lncRNA from 1 species
CUCUCUAGCAAUAAGAUACCAAAUUCCAACCUGACUCCAGUGCAGCAUCACAUGACAGACAGAGGCCAUGAAAUCAAUAUUUUACCUCAAAAUAUAUUUCUUUGACAUACUUUGAAAUGGCCCUGCCAAGCUGUCUCUUGUGGGGGACAUUUACAUUCUGUAGAGAAUCCCUUCCCUUUCCAGGUCUUUCUCUGAUCCUGAAGACAUUGGCUGAGAGCCUAGCACCUUCUAUGGGUCUGAACAGGAAACAUUUGCCAUCUAUUGUCUCUAAGGGUGGCCACCUAUGAAACUUCAUCUACAUAAUAAGAACCUUGGUCUGCACAGUCUCUUAUCUUAACCCAGACUCUCCUUUCUAUUGAUAGCAGACCAAACCAAUGCACAACUCCUACGUACUGAUGGUGGUCUUACGUUUCCCUAAGUUUCUGCCGACUAAACUGUGCACACGUUCUCAGGACCUCCUGAAGCUGCGUCACAGGCGCUGAUCAAAGAACACAACCAAGAGUUUGGCCUUUUCUUCAGCACUGGGAAUUGUGAUCCAAAGCUUUUCCUGAUGAGGUACAAAGUUGGAGAAACAAAACGCAAACUAAGCAACAAUGAAACAGAACAGAGUGAAUCUGCUGUAGCUCAAGAGAGGACGUAGCUGCCCCCACCCCGCAUCCCUGGGCUCGGGUUUGCCUUGCUGACCUCUGCUGCCACCUGGUGCCGCACAGAGAAACUGAGGAGAAACCACAUCAGUCUCCUUCAGCCUCAGCUUCACAUCUGUGGGUCAAGCAACCCUUUCAGAAGCUGUAUAAUGUGGGAAAGCUUUCCUCUCAGGAAAAUGCACACAUCCAACUUUGAGAAGAUGCCCUUGGGGGUGCUUCAAGGAUCCUAGAUAAUAACCCCCUUUCCCGAACAUCCAAGAACCUAAGUUUUUUUUUUUUUUUUUGAGAAAGUCUCGCUCUCUCUCCCAUUCUGGAGUGCAGUGGCGUGAUCUUGGCUCACUGCAAGCUCCACCUCCCAGGUUCAAGCCAUUCUCCUGCCUCAGCCUCCCAAGUAGCUGGGGCUACAGGCACCUGCCACCACACCCGGCUAAUUUUUUUGUAUUUUUAGUAGAGACGGGGUUUCACCGUGUUAGCCAGAAUCGUCUUGAUCUCCUGACCUUGUGAUCCACCCGCCUCGGCCUCCCAAAGUGCUGGGAUUACAGGUGUGAGCCACCACACCUGGUCCAAGAACCCAACUUUUAGAUCUAGAGUGAUGUCAGCAUGACAUUGAUUUCCUGAGGCCCAGGGGUGAAGGAGCUGAGGACAGCAGAGGGGUGAAGGAAGUCAGCUACAGACAGCAGCAGCUGAUGCACAGGCCUCCCAGCGCCUGAAGUCACCCGGAAUUGGGAAGUGCUCAGAAGCUUACAAAGCUGCCUCGAGGUGGGAACACAACAUUAAUCCAAGAGCAGAUCCCUGAUCCUAUAAAAAUGUACUAGAUGCAGUGGGGGCAUUUUAAAUGAGCAGGGAAGGACAGACAGAUAAACAGAAGGACAAACAGUAUUGGGAUUGGGAUAAAUGCUCAGCUUUUGCCCAAAUCUUAGUGACUUAAGCAUCACUUAUUUGCUCACGAUUCUGUGGCUGGACCAUUUGGUUUGGCUCACAGGGCAGGGACUGUGCUGG